GUUGAACGCUGGCGGCAGGCCUAACACAUGCAAGUCGAGCGGAUGAAGGGAGAUUGCUCCUGGAUUCAGCGGCGGACGGGCGAGUAAUGCCUAGGAAUCUGCCUGGUAGUGGGGGAUAACGUCCGGAAACGGGCGCUAAUACCGCAUACGUCCUGAGGGAGAAAGUGGGGGAUCUUCGGACCUCACGCUAUCAGAUGAGCCUAGGGCGGAUUAGCUAGUUGGUGGGGUAAAGGCCUACCAAGGCGACGAUCCGUAACUGGUCUGAGAGGAUGAUCAGUCACACUGGAACUUAGACACGGUCCAGAAUCCUAAGGGAGGCAGCAGGGGGGAAUAUUGGACAAUGGGCGAAAGCCUUAUCCAGCCAUGCCGCGUGUGGGAAGAAGGUCUUCCGAUUGUAAAGCACUUGAAGUUGGGAGGAAGGGCAUUAAGUUAAUACCUUGCUGUUUUGACGGGAACAACAGAAGAAGCACCGGCUUACUUCGUG
rnacentral:rRNA from 1 species